rnacentral:rRNA from 1 species
GACGAACGCUGGCGGCGUGCCUAAUACAUGCAAGUCGAACGAACAGACUAUACCGUAGCUUGCUUCACCAUAGCCUGUGAGUUGCGAGCGGGAGAGUAACGAGUAGGUUAUCUGCCUGGGAGCGGGUGGUAAAUCCUGGAAACGAUAGCUAAAACAGAAUAAUCUUGAUUAUUGCAUGAUAAUUGACGGAAAGAUGCUAUCGUAUAACUACCAGAUGGACGUGCGAUGUAUUAGCUAGUAGGAGAGGUAACGGAGCACCUAGGCGAAGACACAGAGCCGACCUGGGAGGGUGGUCGGCCACCCUGGGACUGGGGCACGGCCCAGGCUCCCUCGGGGAGCAGCAGUAGGGGAUCUUCGGCAAUGGGCCGAAGUCUGACCGGGCAACGCCGCGUUAGGGGAUGAGGGUUUCGGAUCGUUAAGCUCUGUUUUAAGGGAAGAACGGAUUUUGUAGUUGAAAGUGCACGCUUUGACGGUAUCUUACCAGAAAGGGACGGCUAACUACGUG